rnacentral:rRNA from 1 species
UACGAGGGAUGCAAGCGUUAUCCGGAAUUAUUGGGCGUAAAGCGUUUGUAGGCGGGCGAGUGUGUUUAAUGUUAAAUCUUAAAGCUCAACUUUGAAAUUGCGUUAAAAACUGCUUGUCUUGAGUAUGGUAGGGGUAAGGGGAAUUCCCAGUGUAGCGGUGAAAUGCGUAGAUAUUGGGAAGAACACUAAACAGCGAAGGCACUUUACUAGGCUAAUACUGACGCUGAGAAACGAAAGGUAAGGUAGCGAAACGGAUUAGAUACCCGUGUAGUCUUACCCGUAAACUAUGGACACUAAACGGUAAAUUUUUAAUUUACUGUUAAAGCUAACGCGUUAAGUGUCCCGCCUGGGGAGUAUGCUUGCAAAAGUGAAACUCAAAGGAAUUGACGGGGGCCCGCACAAGCGGUGGAGCAUGUGGUUUAAUUCGACGGUACACGAAGAACCUUACCAGGAUUUGACAUGCUAGAUAGUUGCUUGAAAGAGUAACGUGCCGUAAGGAAUCUAGACACAGGUGGUGCAUGGCUGUCGUCAGUUCGUGUUGUGAAAUGUUGGGUUAAGUCCCGCAACGAACGCAACCCUUGUCUUUAGUUAUUUUCUAAAGAGACUGCCUGUAAUAAACAGGAGGAAGGUAAGGAUGAGGUCAAGUCAUCAUGCCCCUUAUGUCCUGGGCUACACACGUGCUACAAUGGGAAAGACAAUGAGCUGCAAAUCUGUAAAUUUAAGCAAAUCUCUUAAACUUUCUCGUAGUUCGGAUUGUGGGCUGCAACUCGCCCACAUGAAGUUGGAAUCGCUAGUAAUCGCCAGUCAGCU